UCUAUUACCUAUUUUAAUAGUUUUUUUUUCAAUGUUAUUAUUAGUGUUUUGGUUACUAGCAAGGAUUGUUACAAAGUUAACGUGAUCAUUUUAAAUUAGAAGAGGUACGUGUGCAUAUUAAUUUUUUUAUGUUAAUUAAUAUUAUACCAAUGUUAGAGGAGUUUGAAUAUCCUAAAUAUUCAUCCAUACUGAAGUAGGUUUUAAUAUUAAUUGUGUGUUGCGGUGAUAACGGAAGGUUUCUAACUUGUGUCCCUUAGUGAAGUAGGUUCUGCGAAAAUUUGAUUGUGUUGCGGUGGUAUAAGGAUGAAAACUUAUUGCAUGUUGGUUGAAUUAUUUGAAUUAUUUGUUUGCUAUAAUAGAUGGAUUAUGUAGUGAGAAUUGGAUGUUGAUAUUAUUGGUGCCGGACUCUUAUUGGUUAUGUUUCAUGGAUCCCAAAAACUCACACUUGAGUAAUCGACCUAAUAUUAGAGAGACGGUCACAUUGGCAUUUCAAACUUACUACAGGGCUAUAAGGAAAGAAAUUCCACCGAAGCUAAAAGUUCGACGCCCAACUUGUCCACAUCAACUGGAAGACACCGAAUGUGGAUAUUAUGUAAUGAAGAUGAUGAAAGAUUUAAUUCAAGCUUCGAACCGGAAACACUUUUUGGCCGAGUUAAGUGAUGCAAAUUAUACAGAAGAAUAAAUUGAUGAAGUGAAAGAGCAUUGGGCAAGUGAGAUGUUAUCGGUUAUUCAAACUUACUGACGUUAGUUGUUUUUUGUUUUAAUAGACCAAUGGGCAAGUGAUAUGUUAUCGGUUAUUUAGUUGUUUUUUGUUUUAAUAGACCAAUAGUUAUUUUAUAAUUUUAUAGUUAUGGAUUUAUUGGUAUAAUGAAUUAAUAUGUAAUAUUUAUUAGUUGUGUUGACGUGAAUUAUUAUAAUGGUCUAAUUUAUAUAAAUUUUACAUUUGGUCAAUUAAAAUUAUUAUUGUUAUAGUUAAUUGUAUUUGUAUAUAAUUAAUAUAAAUUAUUAUUUAUAAUAUAUAAAAUUUGAAUUAAAAUAAUUAAUUAUUAUAUUUUUUUAAAAAAAAUAUAUAAUGUAGAGGCACUUUUGGUGUGUCACUAUAUCUCUAAAAAUAUUAAUAAAAAAAGGAAAAUAAAAAAUAAAAUAGGAUAUAGUGACACUCCAUGUAAGUGGCUGUUGUUUUUCUAGUCUGACAAAACCUAACACUGUACCCCUAUAGUGACGCGCAGACAAUGAGUGCAAAAGCAUUCAGUGACACGUUUGGAACGUCACUAAAAAUUACUUUUCCAGUCAGCCUCAUUAGUGAUGCGCGUUGAAGUGUCACGUACUGUGCAC